UGUAUCUGAAGUCUGACGAGGAUGAGAACCUCCGGAGGCAAGAGGUUCGACCCGAGCGAAGCGAGAGAACGUUGCGUCAGCAACGGCCCGCAGGGCGAGCCACGCAGUGGCGAGUCAUCCUCUAUCACCGGCAG
rnacentral:sRNA from 3 species